AUUCGCUGGUUAGAACAUACACUAAAAUUGGAACGAUACAAAGACGAUUAGCAUAGCCCCUGCGCAAGGAUGAGCACAUAGUGUUUAAUUUUUU
rfam:Glossina palpalis gambiensis isolate 146720 unplaced genomic scaffold Scaffold288, whole genome shotgun sequence.